UACAGAGGGUGCAAGCGUUAAUCGGAAUUACUGGGCGUAAAGCGAGCGUAGUCGGUUAUUUAAGUCGGGUGUGAAAGCCCCGGGCUCAACCUGGGAAUUGCAUUCGAUACUGGAUAGCUAGAGUUCGGCAGAGGGAAGCGGAAUUUCCGGUGUAGCGGUGAAAUGCGCAGAUAUCAGGAAGAACACCCGUGGCGAAGGCGGUUCUCUGGGACGGUACUGACGCUGAGACGCGAAAGCGUGGGGAGCGAACAGG
rnacentral:rRNA from 1 species